rnacentral:rRNA from 1 species
UGGCUCAGGACGAACGCUGGCGGCGUGCUUAACACAUGCAAGUCGAACGAUGAACCACUUCGGUGGGGAUUAGUGGCGAACGGGUGAGUAACACGUGGGCAAUCUGCCCUGCACUCUGGGACAAGCCCUGGAAACGGGGUCUAAUACCGGAUAAUACUCCUGCACUCAUGUGUGGGGGUUAAAAGCUCCGGCGGUGCAGGAUGAGCCCGCGGCCUAUCAGCUUGUUGGUGAGGUAAUGGCUCACCAAGGCGACGACGGGUAGCCGGCCUGAGAGGGCGACCGGCCACACUGGGACUGAGACACGGCCCAGACUCCUACGGGAGGCAGCAGUGGGGAAUAUUGCACAAUGGGCGAAAGCCUGAUGCAGCGACGCCGCGUGAGGGAUGACGGCCUUCGGGUUGUAAACCUCUUCAGCAG